UACAGAGGUGGCAAGCGUUGUUCGGAAUUACUGGGCGUAAAGCGCGUGUAGGCUGCUCAGCAAGUCGGAUGUGAAAGCCCUGGGCUUAACCUAGGAAGUGCAUUCGAAACUUCUGAGCUAGAGUUCUGGAGAGGAAGGCGGAAUUCUCGGUGUAGAGGUGAAAUUCGUAGAUAUCGAGAGGAACACCGGUGGCGAAGGCGGCCUUCUGGACAGUGACUGACGCUGAGACGCGAAAGCGUGGGGAGCAAACAGG
rnacentral:rRNA from 1 species